rnacentral:rRNA from 1 species
UAGUGAGUUUGAUCCUGGCUCAGGAUGAACGCUGGCGGCAGGCUUAACACAUGCAAGUCGAACGGCAGCGCGGGGUAACCUGGCGGCGAGUGGCGAACGGGUGAGUAAUAUAUCGGAACGUACCCAAGAGUGGGGGAUAACGUAGCGAAAGUUACGCUAAUACCGCAUACGAUCUAAGGAUGAAAGUGGGGGAUCGCAAGACCUCAUGCUCCUGGAGCGGCCGAUAUCUGAUUAGCUAGUUGGUGAGGUAAAGGCUACACCAAGGCCACGAUCAGUAGCUGGUCUGAGAGAACGACCAGCCACACUGGAACUGAGACACGAUCCAGACUCCGUACGGGAGCAGCAG